rnacentral:rRNA from 1 species
AUUGAACGCUGGCGGAAUGCUUUACACAUGCAAGUCGAACGGCAGCACGGACUUCGGUCUGGUGGCGAGUGGCGAACGGGUGAGUAAUACAUCGGAACGUGCCCAGUCGUGGGGAUAACGUAGCGAAAGCUACGCUAAUACCGCAUACGAUCUAAGGAUGAAAGCGGGGGAUCGCAAGACCUCGCGCGAUUGGAGCGGCCGAUGGCAGAGUAGGUAGUUGGUGGGGUAAAGGCUCACCAAGCCGACGAUCUGUAGCUGGUCUGAGAGGACGACAGGCCACAAUGGGACUGAGAAACGGCCCAGACUCCUACGGGAGGCAGCAGUGGGGAAUUUUAGACAAUGGGCGCAAGCCUGAUCCAGCCAUUCCGCGUGCAGGAUGAAGGCCCUCGGGUUGUAAACUGCUUUUGUACGGAACGAAAAGGCUCUGGUUAAUACCCGGGGCUCAUGACGGUACCGUAAGAAUAAGCACCGGCUAACUACGUGCCAGCUGCCGCAGUAA